CAUUAAUAUUUCCAAUGUGGUUCGGCUCUUUGCUCUGUUCUGCCUGUCAAAAAAGAUGCUAUCCCUGUGAUUAAAACCAUUACCAGUCCUUCAAAGAUUACAUAUGGCUUUCAGGCCUCAGCCUCAAUAGAUGCAGGGUUUGUUAAACCACUGGAGGUGAAGCCAACCAAGGAUGGGAAGCCAAGGUCCAGGGUAUUUUGGUCAUCCAAGGAGGAAAUGAAAAUGCGUUGAGCAGCAAGAUCUACAGUGGAUUAAGACCCUGGAUACAUUUCACAAAAGUACUGGCAGGAGAUGCUGGUAGCCUUGGAUAUUACUUGGAGGAAGGAACAGAAGAGAUGAUGGUGACAACAAAGCUCCUGUCAGCCACAGGAGGAAGGGAGAUGCGUCAGCUGGUUUGAUAAUGCCUGAGUCUUACAGACUGAUAUGCUGAUCAUCAAAGUCUGCAUUUUCAUGUCUGACAUCGCAGAAUGCCUGUAUCACUGGUGCUGAUGGUGAAAGAGAUGAAUGCAAAGAAUGGAAUGCUAUAAAAUGCUACGUGCCAAACACACUUCUGAUGCCAAGUCAUCCUUUGAAAUGCUUUGUUACGGCAAGGCUUACCUGCAUGAAGUAAGAACAAGACGCAGCCUUACAAAGUGAAUAGCUUUUAACGUAAGGAGUAUAAUGAGUUCAUUUUCUUGACUCCAGUAAUCCAAAAGUCACCAAUAACAGACUAUCUAAUCCACUCCACAAACAAAAUUAGUUACCUUUUCUCUUUGAAUGUAAGGGAAACAAGGUUUCCAGCAGAACACAAAUUGUAAAUAUUUUCUUAACUUUCCAUUUCACGUUAAUUACUCUAUACUGAUUUCACACAUAUAAAGCAAACUGCCGACGUAAAUAUUUCUGUCCACCAGAGUCAUGAAGAAUAAAUACAUUCAAUGAGAAGAAAGUUAGAACAGGGACUCACUUGUCACAUUUGUUGCCAGUGUUCUACUCACAGGCGAGCUGUAGGUCGUGGCAGAAACUGAAGAUAGCGUUAUAUCAUACCCAGUGCCAUCAAAAGAACUGGAAACAUCAACCUAGAAUACCAAAAUUACAUACCACAUGAUUUCUGAAAAGCGAGUUAAAAGAAUAAAUCUAGCAUCAUUUGAAAAGCUAAACUGUACUGAGCAAAGUAGCAAAAACAAAGUUGCAUAUCACCAUAAAAUAUGAAUUUGUUGUAUGACUGGUUACUAACCUGAAAUAAAAUAAAAGCUCACAAAACAUCCU
rnacentral:lncRNA from 1 species